rnacentral:rRNA from 1 species
GAUGAGUUGCGAACGGGUGAGUAACGCGUAGGUAACCUGCCUGGUAGCGGGGGAUAACUAUUGGAAACGAUAGCUAAUACCGCAUAAGAGUAGAUGUCGCAUGACAUUUGCUUAAAAGGUGCAAUUGCAUCACUACCAGAUGGACCUGCGUUGUAUUAGCUAGUUGGUGAGGUAACGGCUCACCAAGGCAACGAUACAUAGCCGACCUGAGAGGGUGAUCGGCCACACUGGGACUGAGACACGGCCCAGACUCCUACGGGAGGCAGCAGUAGGGAAUCUUCGGCAAUGGACGGAAGUCUGACCGAGCAACGCCGCUGAGUGAAGAAGGUUUUCGGAUCGUAAAGCUCUGUUGUAAGAGAAGAACGAGUGUGAGAGUGGAAAGUUCACACUGUGACGGUAUCUACCAGAAAGGGACGGUA